AGUGAACCCUGGCGGUAGGCCUAACACAUGCAAGUCGAACGGCAGCACAGUAAGAGCUUGCUCUUACGGGUGGCGAGUGGCGGACGGGUGAGGAAUACAUCGGAAUCUACUUUUUCGUGGGGGAUAACGUAGGGAAACUUACGCUAAUACCGCAUACGACCUACGGGUGAAAGCAGGGGAUCUUCGGACCUUGCGCGAUUGAAUGAGCCGAUGUCGGAUUAGCUAGUUGGCGGGGUAAAGGCCCACCAAGGCGACGAUCCGUAGCUGGUCUGAGAGGAUGAUCAGCCACACUGGAACUGAGACACGGUCCAGACUCCUACGGGAGGCAGCAGUGGGGAAUAUUGGACAAUGGGCGCAAGCCUGAUCCAGCCAUACCGCGUGGGCGAAGAAGGCCUUCGGGUUGUAAAGCCCUUUUGUUGGGAAAGAAAAGCAGCAGGUUAAUACCCCGCUGUUCUGACGGUACCCAAAGAAUAAGCACCGGCUAACUUCGUG
rnacentral:rRNA from 1 species